GACAACUCUAGAGAUAGAGCUUUCCCCUUCGGGGGACAAAGUGACAGGUGGUGCAUGGUUGUCGUCAGCUCGUGUCGUGAGAUGUUGGGUUAAGUCCCGCAACGAGCGCAACCCUUAAGCUUAGUUGCCAUCAUUAAGUUGGGCACUCUAAGUUGACUGCCGGUGACAAACCGGAGGAAGGUGGGGAUGACGUCAAAUCAUCAUGCCCCUUAUGAUUUGGGCUACACACGUGCUACAAUGGACAAUACAAAGGGCAGCGAAACCGUGAGGUCAAGCAAAUCCCAUAAAGUUGUUCUCAGUUCGGAUUGUAGUCUGCAACUCGACUACAUGAAGCUGGAAUCGCUAGUAAUCGUAGAUCAGCAUGCUACGGUGAAUACGUUCCCGGGUCUUGUACACACCGCCCGUCACACCACGAGAGUUUGUAACACCCGAAGCCGGUGGAGUAACCUUUUAGGAGCUAGCCGUCGAAGGUGGGACAAAUGAUUGGGGUGAAGUCGUAACAAGGUAGCCGUAUCGGAAGGUGCGGCUGGAUCACCUCCUUUCUAAGGA
rnacentral:rRNA from 1 species